UGAUGCAGCGACGCCGCGUGAGGGAUGACGGCCUUCGGGUUGUAAACCUCUUUCAGCAGGGACGAAGCGCAAGUGACGGUACCUGCAGAAGAAGCGCCGGCCAACUACGUGCCAGCAGCCGCGGUAAGACGUAGGGCGCGAGCGUUGUCCGGAUUUAUUGGGCGUAAAGAGCUCGUAGGCGGCUUGUCGCGUCGACUGUGAAAACCCGCGGCUCAACCGCGGGCCUGCAUUCGAUACGGGCAGGCUAGAGUUCGGUAGGGGAGACUGGAAUUCCUGGUGUAGCGGUGAAAUGCGCAGAUAUCAGGAGGAACACCGAUGGCGAAGGCAGGUCUCUGGGCCGAUACUGACGCUGAGGAGCGAAAGCGUGGGGAGCGAACAGGAUUAGAUACCCUGGUAGUCCACGCUGUAAACGUUGGGCGCUAGGUGUGGGGGACCUCUCCGGUUCUCUGUGCCGCAGCUAACGCAUUAAGCGCCCCGCCUGGGGAGUACGGCCGCAAGGCUAAAACUCAAAGGAAUUGACGG
rnacentral:rRNA from 1 species